rnacentral:rRNA from 1 species
CAGGCUUAACACAUGCAAGUCGAGCGGGCCCUUCGGGGUCAGCGGCGGACGGGUGAGUAACGCGUGGGAACGUGCCCUGUGCUUCGGAAUAGCCCUGGGAAACUGGGGGCAAUACCGGAUGAGCCCUGAGGGGGAAAGAUUUAUCGGCACAGGAUCGGCCCGCGUCUGAUUAGGUAGUUGGUGUGGUAACGGCCCACCAAGCCGACGAUCGGUAGCUGGUUUGAGAGGAUGAUCAGCCACACUGGGACUGAGACACGGCCCAGACUCCUACGGGAGGCAGCAGUGGGGAAUCUUAGACAAUGGGGGCAACCCUGAUCUAGCCAUGCCGCGUGGGUGAUGAAGGCCUUAGGGUCGUAAAGCCCUUUCGCCGGGGAAGAUAAUGACGGUACCCGGUAAAGAAACCCCGGCUAACUCCGUGCCAGCAGCCGCGGUAAUACGGAGGGGGUUAGCGUUGUUCGGAAUGGCUGGGCGUAAAGCGCGCGUAGGCGGAUCGGAAA